CUAUUGGGCCACCAAAGUCUUUCAUUUUUCGUUUUCCAAUUCGAAGCCCAUUUACAAGUCUUCUUCUCCCGCCAUUGGGAAAAAUGAAACUUCGCCCUUUCGCCUGAUCGACGUUUGAAGAACCGCAGCUGAUUUAGAUUACAGUGUUAGAUUAUCGCGCAGAUUCCUUCUGAUUUUCAGCUGAACGGCUGCUAAAACCCUAGGGUUUUGUGUUUGAAAUCUUCUGCAAGAUGAGUACCAUGAAAGUUUUGCCGGGAAUGUAACGACAUUCUUUAUCCGAAGGAGGACAGAGAUGGGAAAACUCUUCUCUAUGCGUGCGCAACUGAAUGAGAUCCAUCAUGCUGUAGGGGAACGCACUCAAGUUCUGCAAGAUGAUGCUGCAGAUCCAACUCUCCCUCGCACUAAAGCUGUCCGAUGUGCUCAAUGUAACCAUGGAGAAGCCGUUUUCUUCCAGGCCACUGCCAGAGGGGAGGAAGGUAUGACAUUGUUCUUCGUUUGCUGCAAUCCAAAUUGUGGCCACAGAUAGGAGAGAUUAACAUUACCGAAAUGCAAUCCAAGUUUUAUUAGCAUGUCUGUGUGUCACCAAGUGUUUUAACCAU